rnacentral:rRNA from 1 species
AUUGAACGCUGGCGGCAUGCCUUACACAUGCAAGUCGAACGGCAGCACGGGAGCAAUCCUGGUGGCGAGUGGCGAACGGGUGAGUAAAGCAUCGGAACGUGCCCAGUCGUGGGGGAUAACGUAGCGAAAGCUACGCUAAUACCGCAUACGAUCAGUGGAUGAAAGCGGGGGACCGUAAGGCCUCGCGCGAUUGGAGCGGCCGAUAUCAGAUUAGGUAGUUGGUGGGGUAAAGGCCUACCAAGCCGACGAUCUGUAGCUGGUCUGAGAGGACGACCAGCCACACUGGGACUGAGACACGGCCCAGACUCCUACGGGAGGCAGCAGUGGGGAAUUUUGGACAAUGGGCGCAAGCCUGAUCCAGCAAUGCCGCGUGCAGGAUGAAGGCCUUCGGGUUGUAAACUGCUUUUGUACGGAGCGAAAAGGCUCUCUCUAAUACAGGGGGCUCAUGACGGUACCGUAAGAAUAAGCACCGGCUAACUACGUGCCAGCCGCCGCCGUAAUAC